CCUAGACCUAUUUAAGAGCUGGAUACCAGUAGGGAAGGAGCUCUACUGGAGAUCUGCUCUGCUGGAGUUUUGUGGGCCCAGGAUACAGGCUGGUUUUCCACUGGAGCAACUUGCUGAGUUUGUUCACUAUGGCAACACAAGGCCUCCCUAUCUGAUGCAAAGGAAGUGGACAACCCAGUGGACAAGGCAACAGACAACUUCUGCCAGCAGUGAGGAGUGAUGGCAGUGUACCAGUCAGCCUCCCAUUUCCAUCACGUAAUUGAGGAGGGAAAAGAACCUCACUUCUCCAUUCCUACGUAACACUGAACCACAAGCAUAGACACAUAUCCAUCUACUAAAUUAAAAAUCUAUUUUAGACAUUAUAAUGACAAAAUUGUAGCAAAGUACCUACUAAUCAUCUUUCUUUGGAGGUACACAUGCUUACAUAGCUGCUAACCAGACGCACCAUACACCCACGUGUAUGAUGUCUUUGCCAAAACCAGGUAGAGCCUUUCUGUUAGAAAUUACUAGAGAACAGAAUCACUUCAAGUCUUUAAUCCUCUCUGCUUUAACCAUCAAUUUCCCAUCGUGCUCUACUAAUGCUUGCUUAUGAGGACUUUUUUUCUUCGCUAUUAAGAGCACUUUAUUUUAAAACUCCAUGCUCAACGACUGUGAUGGGACUGUGGUUGAAACAAGUGCCAUUGAGAGCAAACCCACUGCUUAACAGCAGGUGUGUUUGUGGGAAAGCAAAUCUCAGUAACAUGGUAGCCUCCAGAGAUUAAACAUUAAAAUUCAUUUCAAUCUUGGUUCUCACUCUCUUUAAGUAUCACACUAUCAUCUCUACCACAAUUGUCACUGUCCUUAUAUUUUGUGCAUAGAGGAAACGCAUGCGAGUAUCAGUGUGAGCCAAAGCUAUUAUCAGCACUCUGAAGAGAAGUGGAGGUCUGUUCGGCGUUCCCUGUUUCUGUAAAUGAGCAAUGUGCUUGUGAAGUGAUGUGGUUUAACUAUUUCACAAUCUACACUCACACAGAGAGCUGUCAGUUCCUACAGGGAACCAGCUCCUUUCCAGACAUUUGUCAAACCAGUAUGAGCCAUGUCUAAGGCUCCUUCACUAAUUUUCAAAGAAAUGCACAGCUACCUAUAUUACCUACUUGCUUCCCCCCACGCUCUGAAUACUAUGAUAAACAAUUUUAAAGGAAAUACAAGAGACCAACUCUCUCGACUACAUAAAGAGACUAAGUAAGGCCAGCACCAAGAACACAGCCACCUCAUGCUUGCAUUUAAGCAUAGAAGGUUGUUAAAUCUGUUAGAGUAAUACAAAAAGACUCUAAACUUCAGACCUUUUCACGAUGAGACACCUGAGGCUAAGCAUGACUGUGCCACCAGGAAGAAACAUGGCUGUAACACACUGCCACCAGAAGGACAACGGGUCCAGUGCGCCCUGCGUUACUCCUUGGCUCAAAGAUAAAUAAAAAACAGUGCUUCUGGAAG